GCCGGUGUAGCUCUGGUGGUAGAGCAACUGACUUGUAAUCAGUAGGUUGGGGGUUCAAGUCCUCUUGCCGGCAC
rnacentral:tRNA from 1 species